UACUUCAGACAUAGCCUGGAUGUGACAGGACCCAAGGCAGUCUCCAUCCUUGCUGAGAUACCAACUGAUAGGGAAGAAGAGAGAGAAAGCAAAUGUGACACAAAUAAGAUUAUCCUUCUGAAGAUAAAUUAUAAAGCAGAAAAAUAAGAAUAGACGGUUUUCCUUCAAACUGCUACAAAAAUUCCACUGCUCUGGGUUUUCAAGAUAAAAGCUGAAAUACAGGUGAACACGCCCAAAGGUACCCGUGCCUGAAAAGUUGAAGAAGAAAUGCCAACUUGUUGUUGAAAAAAAAAAAAAAAAAAGCAAAGGUAAUUUACUAAAUUCAAAACCUACCGGAACUCAA